CAAACAAAAAACACCACCAGAUUAGUUAUUUCACUAAAUUACAAAAGGCACUUGGACAGAAUGGAACACCAAAGCCAUGCAAAAGAGCUGUAAGAAAAGUAGUUCUACACUGUGUUAUGAAACCAAGUAAAGAAGUAAAACCAAGAAGUAAAUGUAGAAAGUAAAUAUAGGAAUUAGUAUUUUUAGUCAUGCAGUUGCUGAGGAAGAGCUUAGAAUCAAAUUUAGUUUAGUCAGAGAGCUACAACACGAAGAUGGACCUGUUAUUUGAGGAGGGACUGUGUGUUGAAUAACAAGGAAGAAUUUCCAUGCAUUUUUACCUCCAUACUGAAUUGUGUUUUCAAGAUUGCGUAAUGCUUCUUGAUCAGUGACCUCUGAAGAACUGGCACAAGCACUUACGCUACAAGCCGAAUGGCAAAAGCUAGUUAUGGGUUCAUCGUAUUCAAAAGCAGGAUUAAUCCUUACAGCAUUUUCUGAAGUGCGGCUGUUGAGAGUAGGACUUCUACAAUGCAGAACAUUUUUGUUUAGAUAUACAACAACAACAACAAUGCUCGCAGUUGCAUGAACUGUUGUUCCAGUGCUUUGUAUUCUGUCGAGCUCCUAUUGAAGAGGUCAUCAGAAAAGUGCAUGUUGGUCACCCUCAGGCUGAAGAAAACCACCAGCUCUUUGCC